rnacentral:rRNA from 1 species
CGAUAGCGAAGAGGUCACACCCGUUCCCAUGCCGAACACGGAAGUUAAGCUCUUCAGCGCCGAUGGUAGUUGGGGGUCUCCCCCUGUGAGAGUAGGACGCCGCCAAGC